UACGUAGGGCGCAAGCGUUGUCCGGAAUUAUUGGGCGUAAAGAGCUCGUAGGCGGCUUGUCACGUCGGAUGUGAAAGCCCGAGGCUUAACCUCGGGUCUGCAUUCGAUACGGGCUAGCUAGAGUGUGGUAGGGGAGAUCGGAAUUCCUGGUGUAGCGGUGAAAUGCGCAGAUAUCAGGAGGAACACCGGUGGCGAAGGCGGUGUGCUGGGUUGCAACUGACGCUGAGAUGCGAAAGUGUGGGGAGCAAACGGG
rnacentral:rRNA from 1 species